GAUGAACGCUGGCGGCGUGCCUAAUACAUGCAAGUCGAGCGAACGGACGAGAAGCUUGCUUCUCUGAUGUUAGCGGCGGACGGGUGAGUAACACGUGGAUAACCUACCUAUAAGACUGGGAUAACUUCGGGAAACCGGAGCUAAUACCGGAUGAUAUUUUGAACCGCAUGGUUCAAAAGUGAAAGACGGUCUUGCUGUCACUUAUAGAUGGAUCCGCGCUGCAUUAGCUAGUUGGUAAGGUAACGGCUUACCAAGGCAACGAUGCAUAGCCGACCUGAGAGGGGGAUCGGCCACACUGGAACUGAGAACCGGCCCAGACUCCUACGGGAGGCAGCAGUAGGGAAUCUUCCGCAAGGGGCGAAAGCCUGAGGGAGCAACGCCGGGUGAGUGAUGAAGGUCUUCGGAUCGUAAAACUCUUUUAUUAGGGAAAAACAUAUGUGUAAGUAACUGUGCCACUCUUGACGGUACCUAAUCAGAAAGCCACGGCCAACUACGU
rnacentral:rRNA from 1 species